CCUACGGGAGGCUGCAGUGGGGAAUAUUGCACAAUGGGGGAAACCCUGAUGCAGCGACGCCGCGUGAGGGAAGAAGUAAUUCGUUAUGUAAAGCUCUAUCAGCAGGGAAGAAAAUGACGGUACCUGAGUAAGAAGCCCCGGCUAACUACGUGCCAGCAGCCGCGGUAAUACGGAGGGGGCAAGCGUUAUCCGUAUUUACUGGGUGGAAAGGGAGCGUAGACGGCAGUGCAAGUCUGCAGUGAAAGGCGGGGGCUCAACCCACGGACUGCUCUGGAAACUGUACGGCUGGAGUGCAGGAGAGGUAAGUGGAAUUCCUAGUGUAGCGGUGAAAUGCGUAGAUAUUAGGAGGAACACGAGUGGCGAAGGCGGCUUACUGGACUGUAACUGACGUUGAGGCUCGAAAGCGUGGGGAGCAAACAGGAUUAGAUACCCUGGUAGUC
rnacentral:rRNA from 1 species